AGUGUGCUUGUUGCUAAGGUUCCCGGGGAAACCGGGAAACGAUCGCUUAUACUUUCUUAGGAGAGCGGUGCUGGCAGGUGGGAGGUUGAGUUAAGCUUGCCAGCAAACACCAACAUUUAUGGUCCCAGGACCAUUUCCUUGGCUGGACAUCUUCAGUUGGACUGAGCGACUCCAAGUUCCUUAGCGUCCUUCCAUGAGCUAUGCCCUAUUCUUCCUCUGGUUCUGCCUUGGAGAAGGAGCACACAAAAUUGAAUAUGAGAAUAAGAUAAAGUUGAUGAGAUCCAGCCAGUCAACUUAUGCUUAUGUAGAGCUUUCAAUGGACAAAUACUAUUCUAAACCCUGAAGAUACCGCCAUGAAUAGGAGUCAUUGACCUCAGGGAACUUACACUCCAGCAGCAGGAGAAGACAAGUCAACAGCAUGUGCAUAAGACAAGGUGAGGUAUAAAUGGAAGCUAGCAAGAAGAUAAAAUAGACACCUGCUCUCAAAGCAGGGUUGCUUUUUCAGAGGAGGCAACAUGUAAGUUGAGGUCGUGAAGAUACCAUAAGAAGAGGCAGCUAUUCAGAGGUUGGGGAAGAGCAGUCUGAGUAGAGAGAAGAGCCUGUGUAAAGACAGAAACAGGACUGGCCUGUUCAGGAGACAAAAAGCAAGUGAGUGUGGCUGGAAUAUCGUCAAAAGGAUGAAGCAAUGGAAGUACAAGAAGGAAGCCAACAAAUGGAUGGGCUUAGGUUCAGACUGUGGGAUGAGAAAAGAGAACAAAUUGUUGACUCAACCAGUUGUAUGUGGCAUAUUUUGAGCAUCUCCACAGGCCAUAGGAAACAACAUUUCAGAAAACAUUAAUUUUAACUGAAUGAGUGUAUUUGAGGCCAGCAGUUCCCAAACUUGGCUGAGUCUGAGAGGUGCUGGGAGCUCUCUGAUGACAAGUUCUGGGCCCUGUGCCAAGCAAGUCUGAGCCUUGGGUCAGAAUCUUCAUUUUAGAAAUGCUUCCAGGUGGUUCUGAUGACCAGUUAGGUUGGGAACUACUAAAUUAGGCCACAUUUUGAAGGGGAAUGGUCACAUAUUAUUUACCACCAACAAGGCAGCUCAGGUUUAUUUUUAAAACUUGGUUGUGAAAUGUAACACACACGGAAAAACAUACGAAAUCAAAAUGCCACUCGGUGAUUUGGCUUAAAGCAAACUGUCAAGCGUCCACCUCCCAGACGAGAAAUAGAACAUUCCCAACAGAUGCAUUUUUUUGUCAACUAAA